UCAUCAUCGCCAUCCACCUAAUUAAAAAUAUCAAAAACCAGUAAUAACCACAUAACCCAAAACUACCAUCGAAACUCUAAAGAACCACCACCAAACCUAGAACAACCACCACCAAAACCAAUGAAAUCCACCCAAUCACCACCGAAAGUUCGAACAACCACCACCGAACCCUGAACAAUCACCACCAAAUCAUUGAAAUCCACCAACGAAUCCAACAAAUCCACCGCGAUGAACCAGCGAAACCACCCCCAUGAACCACCAAAAUCAGUAACGAACCACCAAAUCCUACAAACCACCCCCAUAACCAUCCAAGAACCCACCUUAAACCAACCAGGAAUCAUCCAAUUGAUAACCCAGUUAAUAUGACAUAUUAACUUCAUAUGUUAAUAUGAUGGCAUUUUCGUUAUUAUUGAAAUAACUUGCAAUAUUUUAUUGUUUUCUGGGUUUGUAGCUGACAUGGCAGAAAACUUGCGACGUUAGUGGAUGGUUAACGCUGAAUUUUGAUCCCUUUUUGUCUUGAACUUGGGAAUCAAAAGAUCCCGUUGUUGAGGAAGCAGGAGAAGAGCAUCAGCAAGCUCUCCCUUUUUCGAGCUCUUAUCCAUUUUUCUCAGAGCGUGAGGGAGCGACUUACGAAUUUGAUGAUUGGAGUCUUCAACCCAACUUGAUAUCGCGUUCUUGGUGUUCUGAAGGGACAACGUAAUUGUUAUAUUGCAGGUGUGGUUAUGGAUUGUGGUUUUGAAGCUGGUGAAAUGGGUGAUCCUGUUGGCGUAUCAUAUAGUGAUGAGGGGUGGGGGGGGGUGGCAAGUGAUAACUUCUGGUGGUGUGGCUGAUGGUCUCCCCUCUCUGAACUGUAUGGCAUUGAAGAUUCCUAACUCAGUUGAGAGACUAGCUGCCAUGUCACCAAUUAAAACUAUUGAAACUGUAGAGACCAUUGUCUCAACAAAUCAGAUUAGCAUGUACACUUAUGUUGAAUCACCUAGGUUAGGGAUGGUUUUCAAAUCCUUUGAAGAUGUAGAAAGCUACUACAACGAGUAUGCUGAGCAGAAAGUUUUUGGGGUAACCCGAGUUGCAUCAUCAUUUUCAAAGAAGGAUAAGGAGGAGUGCAGAGGGGCCACCUGGAGGUGUGAGUGUUGGGGUCCACCUGAUAUGAGGGCAAGGAGGGAGGCGAAGAAAAGGGCAAAGCCAACGAAAUUAUGUGGCACGGGAGGGAUGUUUAAUGGUGAAAUAGGGGAAGAUAUCAUGCAGCGGGCGAAAAGGACCUCCAAGAAAUGUGAGUGUGGUGCCAUGUUAUAUGCCGGGGUUGAUAGUGAUGGCUAUGGGUUAUUAGGAAAUUGAAAAAUGUGCAUGAUAACCAUACCCCUAAACCGAGUGAUGCUAAGCUGGUGAAGGAAUAUCAAAUGAAGAAUUACACGUCGAAUGUGGAGAAGAAACUUCUGAAUUACUAUGAAGUAGGUGUCCCUAUAAGGCAAAUACAUGGGUGUAUGGCUACGGAGACCAGGGAUGAUAACUUCCUAGUUUUAAGGACCUUGAGCAUGAAGUGUCUAAGGAAAAGUGGCUCAAAAUGGAAGGUGGUGAUGCGGCUGCAAUGAUGGCAUACUUUGAUCGCAUGCAAGAGGAUAAUAAGAAUUUCUAUCAUGCACACCGCUUAGAUGAAGAGGGCCGACUCAAGGACGUAAUGUGGGUGGACGCUUGUAGUAGGGUGGCAUAUGAAGAUUUUGGGGAUGUUGUUUGUUUUGAUUCCACUUAUCUAACUAAUGCGUACGCGCUUCCUUUUGCCAACUUUGUAGGGGUAAACCACCAAGGGCAACCUAUAUUUUUGGGUUGCGCUCUUGUGUCACAUGAAGAUUGUGACACAUCUGGUUGGAUAUUUAGGCAGUGGCUUUCUUGUAUGGGUAAUAAACAACCCGGGCGAAUUUUGACAGAUCAAGCUGCCGCAAUGCGCAAGCCUUUAGCUCAAGUGAUGCCUAAUGCUCGACAUCGUUGGUGAAGAAAAUCCCAGAGAAACUUGGAAAAUGUGAACACUACCAAGAUUUUAAGAGCCCUCUUAAGGCUCUUGUAUAUGAGAGCUUCACAGUUGCCGAGUUUGAGCGUCGCUGGACAGACUUAAUCAAGCAGUUUGAACUAGAGGAUAAUGAUUGGUUAGCUAUUUGUUUGAGGAAAGGCACAUGUGGGUCCCAACCUUUAUAAAAGAGCACUUUUGGGCCGGGAUGAAGACAACAUAGAGGAUCAAAAGCAUAAAUAGUUUCUUUGACGGGUUUGUGAACAGGAAGACAAAGCUUUACGAAUUCCUUGACAAGUACACUAGGGCAAUAGGGAGGCGUGUUAAAGCUGAAACUGAUGCGGAUGCUCGCUGUGGCAAAUAUUUAUGGCGCCUCGUGAGUGGUUUUUAUGUUGAACAAUUCUUCCUGGACAUCUACACUAACACCAAAUUCCAAGAGAUUCAAAUAGAGUGUUGUAGACUUAUGCAUUGCUCUAGGAGGGAGGAGCGUGUUCUAGAAGGGAACUUGAUUCAAUAUCUACUUGAAGAUCGGGUCUGGAUCAUCCCAGAAGGGAAGAGCGAAGAAGAGAUAACUGAUAAGAGACGAUUCUACUGUGUCCUGUUCAACACAGUUACAAAGGACGUGUCCUGUGAUUGCCGGAAGUUCGAAACCUUUGGUAUUCUUUGCAGGCAUAUCAUCCGAGUUUAUGAUCAAAAUCGGGUGUCUGAAAUUCCUUCGAAGUAUGUACUUGGCAGGUGGCGCAAAGAUGUCCCUCGGAAGCAUACCCGGGUUAAGGUUGCCUACCACGAUCCAAGUACAGAUUACUCUGUCCAGAUUUAUAGGAAAUUGAUGGGGGAGUUUGAGCCAAUUUGUGAGGUUGCAGCUGUUGCUGAUGACAAGGACACAUUAGAUCUUGUAUUACAGUCUCUACAAUCACUUUCUUUGGAUGUUAAAAAAAGCAGAGAGAAGUACAUGGAAAAGCAACCUUCUCUACCCACUCUCCCAAGAACCCUGUAGCCUCCAUCUGAGAUUUGUUCAAACAACCCUUAGUCACGCCAAACCCCUUUGUCAGUAUCGAAACCUGCUGGAGAAGAAGUGAACCCUGCUACUGUUGAAGCGGCACCUGUUUCAGUGAAGGAUCCUAUUAGUCGGAAAAACCGCGGGGACGGCCAAAGGUGUAUAGGCAUAAAUCCCUUGCAGAGAUGGGCUACAAAAAGAGUACUGGGAAAAAGGGUGAAAAUGCACAACAACCUCCUGCCAAAUUACCUAUGUUGGCGCGGUUGAUGAAUUUGCACAGCACAAUGGGGUGGAAUGGGGAUCUGCUCCUUCUGAAACCUUUUAUGUUGACGUUGAUGGUAGAAGACAGAUGUUGCACCACCGCUUCUUUUGACACUUGAGUGGGGUCUGGUACAUGGUUCUUCAUAUUCUGUAAUCCAUAUAAAACAUGUUUUUGACUUACAAACUUACAAACCCCUUCUCUGAUCCUAUAUAUUUUGUGGUGGAUGUUUAUGACUUUACAAACAAGUGUUUGACUUACAUUUUACCACCAGUGCUGUUUCUUCCAAGUUAACACACAAACAACAUUGCAAAAUUAGGUGCAUUCAUAUAUUGGUUCUUCUUUCCCCAUAUUAUUUGGAAUGUAUUCAUCUUCUCAUUA